GUCUAUGGACACAGACCCUUUCAAGGCCUCUUCCUUCACUUUCCUUCUGCUUAUUUCCUUAUUGGAGCCGAAGGGAGUUGGAGCACAGGUUCUGUGGGGAAAAGUGGGGGACACUCUGAUGCCAGUUUCAGGGAUCUCAGUUUCCUCUCCUCCUCAGAGGAACCGUUCUCCUUCUCGCCAGUCUUCCAGCUUCCCUGCCUGUGAAAGACGAAUGCUCAGAUGAUGUGGCCCAGAUGGCGAUAAUCGACAGAGACCUGAGCCGAGUGUCAAGCAGCUGGGACGGCUCAUCUAAAUCGAAGACCACGUCUCGUGAAGGGAAAGUGGUCAAGUGUUCCUAUCCCAGGGAGCUUCUUCAGAGAGGGAAGAGCUCUGGAGUUCCCAUCCAUUACCAGUGCCUUCGAACCAAAGCAGCAUGAGAAGCUUGGUUGAACUGGACAGGUUUUGAGAGAGAGCUGUCGUGUUGACAGGUUACCUCCCACAGCAGACUGGUCCCGGAGGAGAACCCUCACUGGACAGAUGACCUCUGCGCACCUCCCCGCCCAUCCGCCUCCUGCCUACAACUGGUUCCGACUUCCCAUUUCUUCGCUCCAUUAGCUUCCUGUCCAUUUUAGAAUUGAUUCCUCUAAUUACUUUUGAAUCCCAUCUUGGUGUGACCCCCAAGCUACAUCAGCAUAAAGCAGUCGGCUCUUCAGGCGGGUCAUUACCAGUUGCUCAAAAAGUUGCUCUCAAAUUGAAGAGGCAGCCUCCAGCUUCCACAGAGGAGGACAAACGGCAGGUGACAUCUCCCACCUUCUUCACAUCAUCACCCACAUGAACACAGUUGAUGUAGUUGCUUUUCUGGUGAACUUCUCGACACGGUUCUUACUUGGACUUCUUGGCAUAGAUCCAGUAGAUCAGUCCGAUGACCACGCAGGCGACGAGGAGCCCGACCACGACUCCCACCACCAGCUUGGUCUGGUCAUAGUCGCCAGACUGAUCUGUAGCGGAGACAAGAGAGGAAGGUCAGGUGUGUGCGACCGCCCUGGGGUUGGGUCUCACCAGCAGAGCAGGAGCACCACAAAAGCACUGAUGAUGGACACAACGGCAGCGGUCAUGGUCAUGACUCACGAGGCUCAAUGUUUGUUCAUGACUCUUCAGCCAAUGGGAGCAUGGAGAAUGUUUGACAGGAUGCUGGGAGCUCCAUUCCUUCUUCUCCCUCAUGUUACUAAACGUCACCAUUACAGCUGAUAUAAAUCUUUUCUAAAAUAGGUCUAAGAUUUAUAUAAAACAAAUGCAAGUAAAUACAAAAAGAAUCCAUGAAAACAGCGACUGAAAAUCUCAAGCCAAUUCAGGUGAGAGGAAGUAAUGUUGCUUCUGGGCACGUCGAGAUAACAGCAGUGUUCUUUGUUAAGCUCUGGAAAUACAUGUCUUAUUACAAUGUGAAUCAGAAAUGACAUUGUGAAGGUAUUAUAGCGGAAAAUAAUGAACUAGUCUCCUCUACUACGAUGCAGCAGUGGUCACAUGACUUGUGGUUUCCCACUGUAUCAAAUAUGAGCAGCCGUCUCAAUGGCCCACAGACAUCAGCGGCGUCCACAGAAGAAUAGCCAAGCUUUGUUUACAAUGGAAAUCAUUUUGUCAGCUCAAGACUGUCAAAUAAGCAAAACGUUUUCUAAUGCAGUGUUGGCACAAAUAAAUGCACUUUCAUUGUUUAUAGAUCGUUCAGCUGCUAUCACUGGAAGAGAAUAAUAUUAAGAUCCAUAAACAAA